rnacentral:rRNA from 1 species
CGCCUUCGGGUGAGCGGCGGACGGGUUAGUAACGCGUGGGAACGUGCCCUUUUCUACGGAAUAGCCUCUGGAAACGGAGAGUAAUACCGUAUACGCCCUUUGGGGGAAAGAUUUAUCGGAGAAGGAUCGGCCCGCGUUAGAUUAGGUAGUUGGUGGGGUAAUGGCCUACCAAGCCUACGAUCUAUAGCUGGUUUUAGAGGAUGAUCAGCAACACUGGGACUGAGACACGGCCCAGACUCCUACGGGAGGCAGCAGUGGGGAAUCUUAGACAAUGGGGGCAACCCUGAUCUAGCCAUGCCGCGUGAGUGAUGAAGGCCUUAGGGUCGUAAAGCUCUUUCGCCUGUGAUGAUAAUGACAGUAGCAGGUAAAGAAACCCCGGCUAACUCCGUGCCAGCAGCCGCGGUAAUACGGAGGGGGUUAGCGUUGUUCGGAAUUACUGGGCGUAAAGCGCGCGUAGGCGGAUUAGAAAGUUGGGGGUGAAAUCCCGGGGCUCAACCCCGGAACUGCCUCCAAAACUGCUAGUCUAGAGUUCGAGAGAGGUGAGUGGAAUUCCGAGUGUAGAGGUGAAAUUCGUAGAUAUUCGGAGGAACACCAGUGGCGAAGGCGGCUCACUGGCUCGAUACUGACGCUGAGGUGCGAAAGUGUGGGGAGCAAACAGGAUUAGAUACCCUGGUAGUCCACACCGUAAACGAUGAAUGCCAGUCGUCGGAUAGUAUACUAUUCGGUGACACACCUAACGGAUUAAGCAUUCCGCCUGGGGAGUACGGUCGCAAGAUUAAAAC